CCCGGCAAUGAAUUGCCGGGCUAUUCUCAGAAGUCCCUACGGGACU
rfam:Desulfobacteraceae bacterium IS3 Ga0073107_10143, whole genome shotgun sequence.